rnacentral:rRNA from 1 species
UACGUAGGGGGCGAGCGUUGUCCGGAAUCACUGGGCGUAAAGGGCGCGUAGGUGGUGACCUAAGCGUGCGGUGAAAGCCCGAGGCUCAACCUCGGGUCGGCCGUGCGAACUGGGUCACUGGAGCAGAAUAGAGGCAGGUGGAAUUCCGGGUGUAGCGGUGGAAUGCGUAGAGAUCCGGAAGAACACCGGUGGCGAAGGCGGCCUGCUGGGUUCUGGCUGACACUGAGGCGCGACAGCGUGGGGAGCAAACAGG